UCUACAGGUGUUAGAGGUCGCCCAAGAGAUCAAUUUAGUCUCAGAAGCACUCAGCAGAGGAAGGAAACCCAUUUCGAUCGGUGGAAUUUCAUCGUCGACACCUAGGGUUAUAAAACCUUCCAAGUGAAUUUCCCUUCACUCCAUUUUCUAACGCAAAGUAUGCAAUAAAAUUGAGUGAAGCGAAACUUGAGAAAUUUGAAGUUGCCCACUUUCAAUUUUGCAAUGCAGAAUAUGAAUAAUGGUUUUUCUUUUGCUGGGAAUUUGAAGUAUAUUUUCGAUUACUUUUACUUCAGAAUAAGAAAAGGAUUGCUUUUGGAGAUUUUAUUAGUGAAAUAACUCAUUUUAUGUUAAUUCAGGGGAUAUAACCGGUCCAGACAAUUUCCUUUGGAUUCUCUUGGUGAGAGACAAAGAGAUCGUGUUGAGAUUGUUGCUGGAAGUGUUAAGUAUUGAAUUCUUCAUCUCUAUUUGAAGCUCUUUAUAAAGAAAAAGAAAAAUCAGCUGAAAAAUCAUAAAUUAGGGUUUUUAUCCGUUUCAUAGUUUCGAUUUUAAGUUGAUUAUGCCAAGAAGUUCAAGACAUAAGUCUUCUCAUCAUAUGUCACAUCAACAUAAGCACAGCUCAAAAGAUGUAGAUUUUGAAGAAGAAGCAGAAGAGGUAUUGAGCUUCAAAGCAAAGAAUGGUAAGGUGAAAACCAUGAGUAGUAGGGAUUCAGAGAAUUUUAAACUUGUUGGGAAAUGAUGGUGGGUGGUGGUGAUUUAAUUGGAAGACUACUAGUAGUUUGAAGAGGCGGAAAGAGAAGUGUGUCAACGGGUUUCGGAUCGGUGGAAAGGCGGUGAAGGUGUUAUCAGUGAGGAGAAAUUAGCUGAUGAGGAUGGAUCGAAAUCAAAGGUUGGUUUGAAGAGUAAAUCUAGCAGUAACAGUAGAAGAGACACGGGGAGAGGUAAUCAGAGAGUAUUGUAGUGGACAAUGAGGAGGUGGUGGUGAAGAAAAGUGUUGUUGGUAAUGGUAAGGUUGGGGUGAAGACCUUGAGGUCUGAUAAGGUUCAUUCUAAGGAGUCUACUAAGGAGAAAGAACAUAGGUCAUCAGAGAGAGACAAGAAGAAUCAAGGUGUGCUGCCUGAAAGUAAGAUUGAUUCAGGGACGGUGGAUGUGAAGAAAGAUGUAGCAAAUGCUGAGAGGCAAAUGCAUGAUGAGUUGCGAAAUCAUGAGUUGGAUAUGGAACUUGAGAAUCCAAUCAGGAGGAGAGGCGAUCCUAAUGACAAGGAUAAAUAUCACGAUGAUAGCUGAGAUGCUAAAGAGAGUCAACCGUCAGGGGAUGAUCGGACCAGGAGUUCAAGUUACAAGGAUGAAAAGCAACAAGAUUAUAGGUAUAGAGAAAGUCUUCAUGAUGAUAUGCGCAAGGACAAGCAGAAGAUGAUAAAUAUAGAGAACGCCAGUAUGAAGAUUCAUGUAAGGACCAAACCGAGAUGAUUAUUUGAAAGAUCACUCAGGUCGAAGGUCUGAUAAUAAGAAUCCCAGUGAUUAAAAAUCGAAGCCCACAGUAGAAGUCUAAACCUCAGGAACGUGAAGGUAAUGGUAGUCCACUUAAUGAUGACCGUGUCACCAAUUACAAAGACAGUAGAGGAAAGAAGAGGUACUCUGAUGAUAAUGAUGAAUACUGUGAUCUUAUAUCUCAUAAUGCCAAGAAGCACCAUCAUUCAGUGUCAGAGGAAAUCACCAAGCAGUAGCAGAAAAUAAUCACCCGCUGAUAGGGGAAGAUCCUAGUCACGGCAUAUGAAUUAUGAUUCUACCCUGAGCUCAAGUAGAUGCAGAAGUCCCAGCCCCAAUGGUCAUCCUGUCAAAGAUCAAUUCAGGACUAGUUCAAAAGUGGGAUCUCAGUACAGGGAUUGUUUCAGAUGAAAGCGUUCGAUAUAAUGUCACUCCUUUAAGAGAGCGUAGUAGUGUUCAUGGAUUUCUGAGAGAGCUUCUGAAUUUUGGUAAGCAGAGAAGCAUAGAUCCACAACAAAGCCCUCCAAAGAGGAAGGAAAACGUUUGUUUGAUUUUUCAGUGGAAAGGUGGUUGAAGAGCUAGUAUCUGCUCAUAUGAUGGUUGAAGAACCAGUCUCUGCUCAAAUGUUGGUCGAAGAAUCAGGCCCUUCUCCAUGGAUGGUUGAUGAUUCAAUUCCCCUUGCUGAUUAUGAAGAAUUCAGGGAACCCGACCUAAACUAUGAUCACAAAAUAACAGAAGUUCAACGCCUGAUUUCUGUUAUAGGGGAAGAAUCAGUUCUGGACUCUGAUCAGGAGAAAGCACACAACCUUGUUCCAAGUUUUUAUCAAGAGGAACCGGAACCAAUUGCAUAUCGUCAUCGCGAAGUGGUGGACCCGGUCGCUGAGGAAGAUACCAUUGUCAUUUCAAGUGAUUGAGAAGGUGCUGAAGGUGCAACUUGGUACUGAUGCCGAACAUAGUAAGUCUGUCAAUGGUGUACAAUGUAUGAUAAUUUGGCUAUACCCACGAGAAAUGUGAGGCUUUUACAGCGAAAGCACUUCGUGAAACCCCUGAAAUUUGUGAUGGUCUCUCAUAAUUGCCAGAAAAGUGUUGCUAGUAAUUGUAAGGUUGAGGUGAAGAUGUCGAGGUCUGAUGAGGAUUCAAGUUAGAAAGUGGUUCAUUACAAGGAGUCUACUCAGGAGAAGGAAAGUAGGUCAUCAGAGAGAGAAGAAGAAUCAAGAUGUGCGGCGUGAAGCAAAGAUUGAUUCAGGGACGAUGAGUAUGAAGAAAGAUGUAGUAAAUGCUGGUAAGAGAGGCAAAAGCAUGAUGAGUUGCGAAAUCCUGAGUUGGAAAGGGAACUUAAGAAACGAAUCAGGACAAGGAGAGAUGGUUCUGAUGACAAGGAUAAGUAUCAUGAUGAUGGCAGAGAUGCUAGUCGAGUAUCGUCGUGGGGUGAUCAGACCAGGAGUUCAAGUUACAAGGAUGUAAAGCAGCAAGAUGAUAGGUAUGGAGAAAGUCAUCAUGAAGAUCUGGGCAAGGACAAGCAGAAAGAUGAUAGGCACAGAGAAAGUUAUUAUGAAGAUCUGCUCAAGGACAAGCAAAAAGAUAAUAGGUAUAGAGAAAGUCAUCAUGAUGAUAUGGGCAAGGAUAAGUACAGAGGAAGUCGAUAUGAAGAAUCACGCAAGGACCACACGAAACGAGAUGACAAGCGCUGAGAUGACUACUUAAAAAAUCACUCAGGUCAAAGUUCUGACAAUAAGUAUCCCAGAGAUGAAAAACAAAGCCCACAGGAGAAGUCUAAACCUCAGGAAUGUGAUGGUAGUCCCCAUAAUGAUGACCGUGUCACCAAUUACAAAGACAGUGUAGGAAAGAAGAGGUGGCUUGAUGAUAAUGAUGAAUAUGGUGAUCUUAAAUCUCGUAAUGCUAAGGAGCACCACCAUGCAGUGGCAGAGAACAAAACAUCAAGCAGUAGCAGAAAAGAAUCACCUGUUGAUAGGGGAAGAUCACAGUCGCGCUAUAUAGAUUAUGAUUCUACUGUGAGCCAAAGUAGACGCAGAAGUCCCAGCCCCAAUGCUCAUCCAGUCAAGGAUCAGUUCAGGACUAGUUCAAAAGCGGAAUCUCAGUACAGGUAACCUUGGUCAGCUUCAGAUGAAAGAGUCCAAUCUAAUGUCAGUCCUCUGAGAGAGCGUAGUAGUGUUCAUGGGAUUUCUGAAAGAGCUUCCGAAUCCUGGUCAGCAGAGAAGCACAGAUCACAAAGCCCUCCAAAGAGGAAGAAAUCAUUUGGCUGAUUUUUCAGCGGAAAGGUCUCCAGUAUGUGAUGGACAGGACUCACCUACAGUGUCGACAGAUAAGUCCCAACCCUCAACAAGUUCAUCAGAGAAGAUAUUCAAACAGAGCAAAUGUUAAGCGAAGCCUUGAUAUGGAAGAAACUGGACGAAUAGAUGACUGAGGAAGCAGGGAAGUGCCUUUUUAGAAGCCAGCAGCAGAUGCGUUUCGUCAGGCUGAUGGUGAAACAGUAUAUGUGUCAUCAUCGCUUAAUUGAAACAGUCACUUUCCGAGCAAUUCAUCUUCUAUUUCUACAACACCUUUCAGGGGCGGGACUUCCAGCCCUUCAGUUUAUGGUUCAUCAAAAGAAGAUAGUAGAGGCAAGUCCCAAUUGUCAUAGGAGGACUGGUGAUUUUUAAUGUGGAAAGAGAUCCAGGUAAUGCAUGGAAGGGCCUUCCAAACUGGCCUUCACAAUUACCAAAUAAGUUUAUGGCUUUUCAGAAUGGUCCACCUCCAGGAGGAUUUCAUGCAAAAAUGCAGCAAUAUCCCACUCCACCUUUGUUUCGUAACCACCCUCGGAUUCCUUAUCACAUGCCUGAUGCUGAUAGAUUUGCUAUGCAGAUGCAUGGAUGGGAUGGAAGUAGUAAUAUUGUCUUUGGGGAUGAAUUUCAUAUGUAUUGGAGACCAGAUUGGGAUCAGAACUGACACAAGCUGGAUGGUCGCGGAUGUGAUGGGAAUUCAGAUACGUGUAAGGGGCAAAAAAGUUCUGCAGCACUUGAAAAAAACUAUCAUGGUCUAUCUUCCAAAGAAGAUGAUAUUUGGGAUGGACACCCAAGUCAGCGAUCCCCGAAUGAGCGAAACAGGCCUAAUUUAGGGCAGAGAGUACUGAGGUAACGAGAUCCAAUGAAGCACCUUCACACACCCAAGGUCCCAAUCGAAGCUCCUUCAGUAAAGCAUGUACUGGAAAAGACACCAGAACCUGCUAAAACAUCAUGUCAUAGUGAUACUCAUUUUUGCCAUGUUUAUCUUUCUAAGCUUGACAUCUCAGUGGAUCUUACUCUUCCUCAGUUUUAUAAGCAGUGAAUUCCAAGAGUCAAGAUGGAAGAUGUCCAACACAACUUUGAGUGCGUCACUUUUCCCCAUACUGGAGGAUACUGUUUUGCAGAGAGCCAACCACUUCUGAUAUAUCCAGAGAUUAUCCAGCUUUGAGUGGGCAGAAACUAGAGACGCUUCCAACUACUUCUGAUGAGACCCUUCAGAUAAAUCUACCUUCAGCUCAAGAGAUAGCAAAAGAACAACCUCUAUCAGCUGAAACAGUAGCCAAAGAACUCAGCUCUGUUCAAAAUGAGGAUUGAAGGGCCAGUCCCAGCUGAAAUUAUGAUUGGAGAGGCAAUCUUAGCUGAAGUAAUGGAUGAGCAGCCAAUUUCAUUUGAAAUGGCCGUUGAAAGAACCUGUCCUUACUCAGAUGAUGGUAGAAGAACCGGUGCCUGCUAAAUUGCUGGAUAAAGAACCAUUCCCCGCUCAAAUGAUGGUUGAAGAGCUAGUAUCUGCUCAUAUGAUGGUUGAGGAAUCUAUCCUCGCUCAAUUGAUGGCCGAAGAACUAGCAUCUGCUUGUAUGAUGGUUGAAGACCAGUUCCUGCUCAAAUGUUGGUCGGAGAAUCAGGCCUUUCUCCGCAAAUGGUUGAUGAUGCAGCUCCUCUUGCUGAUUUUGAAGAAGUUGGGGGAACCAGACUUGCACUAUGAUCAGAAAAUAUUAGAAGUUACUCCGCCUGAUUUCUGAUGUAGGGGAAGAACCAGUUCUAGACUCUGAUCAGGAAGGAAUUGUAUAUCAUCAUUGCGAAGUGGUGGACCUAAUCGUCAUGGAAGAUGUGAUACCAAUCAGUCACUGGUCCGGCUUAUAGUGAACUAAGUUAAUUCGUUGAUUCAACCAGUCUAGUUGUUCAUAGGCCAGUACUCUGGACUGUUUCACGACCAAACACAGUAGACGUCUGGACUACUGUAUGUGAAGCUAUAAUCCCUGGCAUAGCAAGUCCUCAAACAACACAACAAGAAGAUGGGUGUAGAAUUAACAUCGAAGUCCCAAGGAUGAUAAUAAGUACCAUACGCAGCUACGCUAUUACUGCAAAGAAUGUGAAAAAUUGCAGUCAUUUGCUAAACUACGAGUAAUUAGUUUAUAAUAGCGAGUCUAAUAUAUGGGCCUAUAUCAUUUGAACCAUUUUUUUUGGGAACCAUGAUUUUUUUGUGGGGACCAUGAUUCUAUUUUAGGCAAGACAUUAUAAGUAAUCCUAAGUCACCUCUUAUCUAAAUGUUUUUCUUAAUACCAAACUUAC